rnacentral:rRNA from 1 species
CCUACGGGAGGCUGCAGUGGGGAAUAUUGGACAAUGGGCGAAAGCCUGAUCCAGCCAUGCCGCGUGUGUGAAGAAGGCCUUCGGGUUGGAAAGCACUUUCAGUGGGGAAGAAAGCCUUGGGGCUAAUACCCUCGAGGAAGGACAGCACCCACAGAAGAAGCACCGGCUAACUCCGUGCCAGCAGCCGCGGUAAUACGGAGGGUGCGAGCGUUAAUCGGAAUUACUGGGCGUAAAGCGCGCGUAGGCGGUCUGAUAAGCCGGUUGUGAAAGCCCCGGGCUCAACCUGGGAACGGCAUCCGGAACUGUCAGGCUAGAGUGCAGGAGAGGAAGCUAGAAUUCCCGGUGUAGCGGUGAAAUGCGUAGAGAUCGGGAGGAAUACCAGUGGCGAAGGCGGUCUUCUGGACUGACACUGACGCUGAGGUGCGAAAGCGUGGGUAGCAAACAGGAUUAGAUACCCGUGUAGUC